UCCAGGCCCUACGGGGUGCAGCAGGCGCGAAACCUCCGCAAUGUGAGAAAUCGCGACGGGGGGAUCCCAAGUGCCAUUCUUAACGGGAUGGCUUUUCAUUAGUGUAAAGAGCUUUUGGAAUAAGAGCUGGGCAAGACCGGUGCCAGCCGCCGCGGUAACACCGGCAGCUCUAGUGGUAGCAGUUUUUAUUGGGCCUAAAGCGUCCGUAGCCGGUUUAAUAAGUCUCUGGUGAAAUCCUGCAGCUUAACUGUGGGAAUUGCUGGAGAUACUAUUAGACUUGAGAUCGGGAGAGGUUAGAGGUACUCCCAGGGUAGAGGUGAAAUCCUGUAAUCCUGGGAGGACCGCCUGUUGCGAAGGCGUCUGACUGGAACGAUUCUGACGGUGAGGGACGAAAGCUAGGGGCGCGAACCGGAUUAGAUACCCGGGUAGUCCUAGCUGUAAACGAUGCGGACUUGGUGUUGGGGUGGCUUUGAGCUGUCCCAGUGCCGAAGGGAAGCUGUUAAGUCCGCCGCCUGGGAAGUACGGUCGCAAGACUGAAACUUAAAGGAAUCGGCGGGGGAGCACCACAACGCGUGGAGCCUGCGGUUUAAUUGGAGUCAACGCCGG
rnacentral:rRNA from 1 species